rnacentral:rRNA from 1 species
CGGAGGGUGCGAGCGUUGUCCGGAAUCACUGGGCGUAAAGGGCGCGUAGGUGGCCUGUGGAAGUCUGCGGUGAAAGCCCGGCGCUCAACGCCGGGUCGGCCGUGGAUACUCUCGGGCUUGAGCUCACUAGAGGCAGAUGGAAUUCCGGGUGUAGCGGUGGAAUGCGUAGAGAUCCGGAAGAACACCGGUGGCGAAGGCGGUCUGCUGGGGUGAUGCUGACACUGAUGCGCGACAGCGUGGGGAGCAAACAGGAUUAGAUACCCUGGUAGUCCACGCCGUAAACGAUGGGCACUAGAUGCUUGGGGGAGCGACCCCCUGAGUGUCGUCGCUAACGCAUUAAGUGCCCCGCCUGGGGAGUACGGCCGCAAGGCUG